AUUUAUUAAAUAAUAAUGAUAAAUUGUAAUUUUUAUAAAAAAAUAAUUGUGUUUAUUGAAUAUUGAUUGGUUAAAUGUUAUAAAAAUAAUUAAUCACAGAAAAUAAUACAUUUAUAAUUAAAAUUUAAGAUGCUUUAUUAGUAUGAGUAAAAAGUUUGGGGAUAUGGUUAUUGUCAGUUGGAAAUAAUUUUUUUUCUAUUUUUAAUGAAUUUUUAUUAAAUAAUAAUGAUAAAUUAUAAAAUUCAAAAAAUUAAUUUUAGAAUUUUGAUUGAUUAAAAGCUACGAGAAAUAGCUAAUCGUAAAAAAUAAUAUAUAUUGUAUAUAACUAAAUUUGUUUUUUUUUAUAAAUAUAAGUGAAAUUCAGACAACAACAUUCAAAUAGAGGUUCGGGGACAUAGCCCCAUAAAAAUGUAUCCAAAGAUAAUGCUCAAUGUAUUUACUUGAUUUUUGAACUCCAUACUAGAAUAAGUUUUUAGCAGUUUUUGACUCCAAAAAUACAUAAAAAGGGACCAGAAAAGAACUAGAGACGGAGAGGCCGGCCAUGAGACAUUAUUAUUAUCACUAGUCAAAAACAACAAACCCUCCUUUUGCUUUUUGAUAUUAAAUUUAAAUUUUGCAGGUUUUUCUCUUCUUCUUCUUCUUCCUCUUUUCUGCUUUCUUCAUCAUCCAUAAAGUGAAAGGUAACGCAUACAGCCAUAUCGUCCCCCAAAAGAAGCAAACGUCCAAGAAAAAAACUAUCUCCAGAACAUUCUCUCUUUGCUCUUUACUCUCUUUCUCUGCCUUUCUCUUUGUUCAUGGAUGCUACGAAGUGGACUGAGGGUUUUCAAGAAAUGAUAAACGUAAAAUUAAACCAAUGGAUCAAAUGAUUCCGAACACCAACAACAACACAUCGCAACAACAACAAACAUUCGUCUCCACCACAACAAGGCUAAAUACCACCACAUCCAACGGUGGCCCCGGUGAAAACAACAACAAUACGACUACUACGAUGGAAAGUAGAAAGGCGAGGCCUCAAGAGAAAGUAAACUGUCCAAUAUGUAACUCAACGAAUAUGAAGUUCUGUUAUUACAACAACUACAGUCUUACACAACCAAGAUACUUCUGCAAAGGCUGUCGAAGGUAUUGGACCCAAGGUGGCAUUCUUCGUAACGUCCCUGUGGGAGGCAGCUCACACUACAAGAAAACGUCUCAUAUAUAGCAUGAGGAAAACGCUAUUGAAAGAUAGCACAGCGUUAUGGCGAACGAUGUAUCUUCCCCGUAAUCUUUUCUCGGACACUUUAGAUAGCACCUUUUUGUGUGCUAUUUUAAUGUAUUAUUUCAAUAGCGUUUAUUAGUUAUGCAAAUGUAAUACUUAUGAUAACAUAGAAUAAAUGCUGUUAUAGCUUUAAUAAAAAUUAAAAAAAAAUACAAUUAAAAAUAUUUAAAAAAUUUGUAUAUUAAAAUUGGUUAUAUGACUAGUGUAUUAAACUAAAAUCAAACUAAACCAAAUUUUUGAAAAAGUUAAAGCUACAACUAAAAUAUCUGAACUUAAAGUUCUAUCUCCUAGUGCCGCACCACACUACGACUCGCAUCUCCACAGCACAACGUCUUGCCUCCUCUGUCGUCAAGCUUCUCGCACCAGACUUAUAAAGGGAAAAUGAUGUUAAGCAGAGAGCCAUGGAGAGUGAUCCUGACAAGGACUCGUUGUGGAAGAGUUGUUAUACUCCACGUAAUCAUGAUCACCAUUUUCUGGUUUAGAUAAAGAACAAAGCAAUUAAGACUUUCCAAAGCAUCAUGAUCUCUGUAACUAUAUGCUGUGAUGUUAAGAUUUGCCAUUAGUGGUGAUUCCAUCACGUGUCUUCGGUGAUUGAACCUUCGCGCCUCCGAGCUUUACCGAACUCCUCCACAUCGCCUCCGAGCUUCACCAAGUAGUACAUCCCAAUUCAAAUAGAAAACACCACCUAACAAAAUACACAGACACACAAUAU